rnacentral:tRNA from 1 species
GCCCCCAUCGUCUAGUGGCCUAGGAUACGAGAUUCUCAGUCUUGGGACCGGGGUUCAAAUCCCCGUGGGGGUA